CCUCCAUGGGUUUGGAUAAUAACCAUGUCCACGGGUCCAGUGGGAGGUCUGUUUGCAGUGCUCUGGAGGUGAUUUCUACAAUCUCCUUCCAAAGUCUGGAUACAUGUACGCACUCAAACCAAAUGUGGAGAUACGUGCCUUGUGCCCCGCAGCCCUUCCAGCAACGAUCGGAGUUCGUUUGCCGCAUUUGUUUGAGUUUUAGGGGGGUGAUGUACCAUCGGAGCAGGGUUUUGUACGCCUGCUCCUUAUGGUUUACACAAAUUGUUACAGAGGCUGUGGCCUCCCAAACGUCCGCCCAAUCUGAGGGGUCACUCGGGGGGCCCAGGUCUCUCUCCCAUGCUCUCACAUAGGAGAAGGCUUCUGGAGGGGCAUCCCUGGCUAAAGCAUUAUAAAGAGUGGAGAUUUGGCCCUUCUGUACGGGUGUGUGUUGGCACAUCUUCUCGAAAUGUGUGUGUUGUGUCGUCGCCGCUACCGUGAUGGUGGGAGUGGACAAGAAACUUCGCAGCUGGAGGUAACGGAAGUGAUUGAAAGUGUUGAAAGGGGUAGUUUGUGGCAGGUCGGCAAAU